UGGGGAAUAUUGCACAAUGGUGGGAACUCUGAUGCAGCGACGCCGCGUGAACGAAGAAGGCUUUCGAGUCGUAAAGUUCUUUUAUAUGGGAAGAUAAUGACGGUACCAUAAGAAAAAGCCCCGGCUAACUUCGUGCCAGCAGCCGCGGUAAUACGUAGGGGGCUAGCGUUGUCGGGAAUCACUGGGCGUAAAGGGUUCGCAGGCGGAAAUGCAAGUCAGGUGUAAAAGGCAGUAGCUUAACUACUGUAAGCAUUUGAAACUGCAUAUCUUGGGAAGAGUAGAGGUAAGUGGAAUUUUUAGUGUAGCGGUGAAAUGCGGAGAUAUUAAAAAGAAUACCGGUGGCGAAGGCGACUUACUGGGCUCAUUAUGACGCUGAGGAACAAAAGCGUGGGUAGCAAACAGG
rnacentral:rRNA from 1 species